ensembl:lncRNA PITRM1-AS1 PITRM1 antisense RNA 1
GCGGGGCAGACAAUGAUGGGAGGGUCUGCAGCACAGACACAGGCUCCUUGAAGACGCCCGUGGUGAGAUCAGCCCCAGGUCGCCGCUUCCACAGACAGGCCUUUUCCUAAAGUGGAUGAAGGGAGUCAAAUAGGCCAGCUUCGUGUCUUGAUCUGCCUUUGCUGUCAUUCACGCAUCUGUCCUCAUGAAGGCUUAACCUACCAUGUUUAUCAGAAAUCUCAGCCUAAAUUCAUUCGAUUUUUACCUAGAGAUGAGGAAUGUGUUAAAUCACUCUACUCCACAAGGAACCAAACCAAACAGCAUCAGCACCAGGCUGAGUCGCGGAAAGGAUCUGUCAGACCGCUCCACUGGCAUCGACUCAGCUCGGGAGCUACGUUCAAAGAAGGGACCCAAGGAUUGAGAAGAACAAUGGAUUUUUUGAUGUGUGGUGCAACAAACGCAUAGCUGAGGGCUGUAAAUCGGGAUGGAUCAGUCGGUCUGCCCACCAGCCGUGAGGGAAGUGGGGAGAAGCUGUCACCCCAACUUGAGUUCAAGAAGACUC